rnacentral:tRNA from 1 species
GCGGCCGUAGUGUAGCCUGGUUAUCACUUUAGCUUGCCAAGCUAGAGACUCGGGUUCAAAUCCCGACGGCCGCA